rnacentral:rRNA from 1 species
GAUGGACGCUGGCGGCGUGCCUAAUACAUGCAAGUCGAGCGAACGGACGAGAAGCUUGCUUCUCUGAUGUUAGCGGCGGACGGGUGAGUAACACGUGGAUAACCUACCUAUAAGACUGGGAUAACUUCGGGAAACCGGAGCUAAUACCGGAUAAUAUUUUGAAUCGCAUGGUUCAAAAGUGAAAGACGGUCUUGCUGUCACUUAUAGAUGGAUCCGCGCUGCAUUAGCUAGUUGGUAAGGUAACGGCUUACCAAGGCAACGAUGCAUAGCCGACCUGAGAGGGUGAUCGGCCACACUGGAACUGAGACACGGUCCAGACUCCUACGGGAGGCAGCAGUAGGGAAUCUUCCGCAAUGGGCGAAAGCCUGACGGAGCAACGCCGCGUGAGUGAUGAAGGUCUUCGGAUCGUAAAACUCUGUUAUUAGGGAAGAACAUAUGUGUAAGUAACUGUGCACAUCUUGACGGUACCUAAUCAGAAAGCCACGGCUAACUACGUG